rnacentral:rRNA from 1 species
UAGCGACCCCCUGACCU